rnacentral:rRNA from 1 species
UACGGAGGGUGCAAGCGUUGUUCGGAAUCACUGGGCGUAAAGGGCGUGUAGGCGGCUCGGAAAGUCGGUCGUGAAAUGCCGGGGCUCAACCCCGGGACUGCGUCCGAUACUUCCGGGCUGGAGGUAGGUAGGGGAGAUCGGAAUUCCUGGUGUAGCGGUGAAAUGCGCAGAUAUCAGGAGGAACACCGGUGGCGAAGGCGGAUCUCUGGGCCUUACCUGACGCUGAGGCGCGAAAGCUAGGGGAGCGAACAGG